rnacentral:lncRNA from 1 species
UUUUUCCCUCCUUUGCCUGGUAGACCUCUCUCCUUGAAGACAAAGUGUUGAUAUCAACUCCACCUUCAAGUCUCUCAAGCAGAACUAGAUGCUGUUUCUUCAAUGUUUCCACAUCUUCUUGUUCACAUGUGUCUAAGAUGCUUCAAGGGAAAUCUGUCUCCCCAGACACUUGCGUACUACAUUGUAAGCCAUUUUUACUAUGAAGAAGAUUGUAAGCUCAAUUACGGGCUUUACUGCGCUGAUAACGAACACAGAUAUGAGACAAGCAGACUUGAGCUCCUGCCUCGAGGAUGGUGAGCAAAGAGCCUAAGCAAAACUGAGAGGAAAUGAAACACAAAGAGGAAACAGAAAGGGUCUCUCUUUGUCACGCAGGUUGGAGUGCAGUGGUAUGAUCACUGACUGCAGGCUUGAUCUCCUGGGCUCAAAUGAUUCUCCCACCUCAGCCUCCUGAGUAGCCAGGACUUCAGGCAUGCAUCACCACAUCUGGCUAAUUUUUGUAUUUUUUGUAGAGAUGGGAUUUUGCCAUGUUGUCCGGGCUGGUCUUGAACUGCUGAGCUCAAGCAAUCUGCUUGCCUCGGCCUCCUAAAGUGCUGGGAUUACAGGCAUGAGCCACCAGGCCCAGUCUAAGGCCUAAUAAGUUAUGCUACCAAAAAU